CCUACGUGUGGCAGCAGUGAGGAAUAUUGGUCAAUGGGCGGUAGCCUGAACCAGCCAAGCCGCGUGAAGGAUGAAGGCGCCAUGGGUCGUAAACUUCUUUUGUCGGGGAACAAAGGGCGUCACGCGUAGCGUUGUGCAUGUACCCUAAGAAAAAGCAUCUGCUAACUCCGUGCCAGCAGCCGCGUUAAUACGGAGGAUUCGAGCGUUAUCCGGAUUUAUUGGGUUUAAAGGGUGCGUAGGUGGUUAAUUAAGUCAGCGGUGAAAGUUGGUGGCUCAACCAUAAAAUUGCAGUUGAUACUGGUAGACUUGAGUAUAGUAGAGGUAGGCGGAAUGCGUGGUGUAGCGGUGAAAUGCAUAGAUAUCACGCAGAACUCCGAUUGCGAAGGCAGCUUACUAAACUAUAACUGACACUGAAGCACGAAAGCGUGGGGAUCAAACAGGAUUAGAUACCCUUGUAGUC
rnacentral:rRNA from 1 species